rnacentral:lncRNA from 1 species
AAAUAUUUAAUACUCAAGUAUUUCACAGAAAAAAAAAUGUAUCUACUUUCUCAUUAGGUUACUGAAAUGUUUUAAUGCAUUUAUGAUUUUUGUUAUUAGUGUGAAUUUUAAUGUAGAGGAGAAUGCAGUGUACUAAGUGAUAUGCCAGUGUCUAAUUACAUUCAUUUUUAGAAAAAAAUAAUCAUUCUUGAAAAUUAGAAUGCAUGAAAACCUAUUUUGUAAAAUAAACUGCUUAUGGGGAGGGGAAAGUUUGCCUUUAAAAAUGUUUCACUAUUACCAUAGAAUCUAUACUUAAAAACUGCAUUCCCAAGACUCUCAUGUAGUUUUUAUACCUAACUUCCUGACUAUCAAGGGAGUAUACCUCUAGAGAGAAAACUUGGUGAGGAUGUCUUACUUCCCUGACUUGGUAGGGGAGUAAGCUUGGUUGAAAUUGCUGCAGACAAGUGUUUUGUACUACUUUAUUAAUAAUGGACUGGGAUAGGGUGAAGGUGAGGGUUAUGCUGGAAAAAUGUAGAAAAGCUAGAGCAAGAAAUAUAUAUUUCAUUCUAAAAGAAGAUACUUUAAAAAUAAAUUUAAUCUCAAAGUUGAUUUUUAAAGCAUUUUUAUUUUAAAGCUAUGUUGGUAAAUACUAUUUCUUAUGAUAGAACUAUUUUGAUCUGUUUAUUACACUAUGCUUAAAAGAAUGUUAAAUUCCCUUUCUACAGAAAGGCCUUGACCUCAGUAUGUUCUAUUUAGUGCAUCAUGUUUAUAAUGAUAUGCUUACGUCCACAUACCAUCAUUAUUUGUUGCUAAGACAUUAUUCUCCAUGAAGCUGAUGUUAUUAUAGAAAGUUUACUGAUAGUAUAACCUGUUUGAAGUAACUUUUGAUUAUACUUUGUGUGAGAUUUAUGUUCCGCGCUGACACUGUCUACUCAAACGUCCACAACGCUGAUAUUCUACCACCUCAGAUGUGGAUAGUAACCAUUAACAGAUGACUGAUUUCUCUUUGUUUCAUUCUAUCAAAUUUCAGAUGUUUGGUUCACUGGUAAUGUUGACUAUUCACUGCAUUAAAUAAAAAAUAAUCUUUUCUAAGAAU